CUUUUGUACCUUAUUUCCUCUGUCGUACCGCCGAGCUACUUUCUUUUUCUCUCCGUCUCUGAUAUCACAAGUACGUUGUUGUCAACAUAUUCUUCUCCAAAUAUAUUUUAGUUCAAGAUCUACGAGAGUUAUGAGUUGCAUAUGCAGAUCUAAGAAAAAUUGAAACGAAUGGAAUGAAUUCAUAUCAUCUGUCAUGUCAACUAGCCAAGGCGGCCAUUAACACCACCCAUAAUAGGUGCAUGAGCUUCCAGAUUCUUUUUCAUUGCGGGAGAUCCCCAAUGGUAUCCCGUUAGUGAUGGCAUAUAGUUAGGAUUCAUUGGUGAA
rnacentral:lncRNA from 1 species